GGCUCGAGUUCGACUGUGCCAACUGGCAGCAAUGGCUUCCUCCUCACAAGUCUCCUCCGGACGAACCAUGAAGGUUCUGGUGGUCUUGGCGGUCCUCGUCUGCCUCAUCGCCUCUGAGGCAAAGGGAGAAACGAUGGAACUGAGAGUUCGUCGUUCAGUUGCUGUAUCCCCAGGGGGAACUGGUGGAAGGCCAGGAGCAGGACGACCAGCGAGUGCUGGAGGCUCAGGAGGUGGAGGAACCACAUCAACCUCAGGAAGUGGAGGUGGAGGACGCCCAUCAAGCCCAGGAGGUGGAACUGGAGGACGCCCAGUAAGCUCUGGAAGCACAGCAGGUGGAGGAGUUAGGGUUCCUCCUAGGGGAGGGACUAGGCCCUAAGAAGUCACUGAUGCACUGAAAUGGAAGGAUCAACCGAAACGGCGAGAACUGUGGUCUGGCAAAGGAGAAUGGAAAAACACAGAUGUCUGCACAAACACUAGAAGCCUCUAUGUAGCUCUCAGCUUUUCCUGUCUUCGACGUGAAAAUGAAACUGUACUGACUUCAACCUCAGCUUUACUGGAUAAUUCGUUUCUUUCUUUUAUCAUGUAAAUUUGUCUAUAAGUUCUGUUUCUUUUCCACUGGCAAUUAAUCCUCAAACCUUUUCAUGAUUAAAUUUGAAGCAAU